UGGGGAAUUUUCCGCAAUGGGCGAAAGCCUGACGGAGCAAUACCGCGUGAGGGAGGAAGGCUCUUGGGUUGUAAACCUCUUUUCUCAAGGAAUAAGUACUGAAGGUACUUGAGGAAUCAGCAUCGGCUAACUCCGUGCCAGCAGCCGCGGUAAUACGGAGGAUGCAAGCGUUAUCCGGAAUGAUUGGGCGUAAAGCGUCCGCAGGUGGCAUUGAAAGUCUGCUGUUAAAGAGUGAGGCUUAACCUCAUAAAAGCAGUGGAAACUACAAAGCUAGAGUGCGUUCGGGGCAGAAGGAAUUCCUGGUGUAGCGGUGAAAUGCGUAGAGAUCAGGAAGAACACCGGUGGCGAAGGCGUUCCGCUAGGCCGCAACUGACACUGAGGGACGAAAGCUAGGGGAGCGAAUGGGAUUAGAUACCCCAGUAGUCCUAGCCGUAAACGAUGGAUACUAGGCGUUGCGAGUAUCGACCCUCGCAGUGCCGGAGCCAACGCGUUAAGUAUCCCG
rnacentral:rRNA from 1 species